rnacentral:rRNA from 1 species
AGUGAACGCUGGCGGUAGGCCUAACACAUGCAAGUCGAACGGCAGCACAGUAAGAGCGUGCUCUGACGGGUGGCGAGUGGCGGACGGGUGAGGAAUACAUCGGGAUCUACUUUUUCGUGGGGGAUAAGGUAGGGGAACUUAAGUUAAUACCGCAUACGACCUACGGGGGAAAGCAGGGGAUCUUUGGACCUUGCGCGAUUGAAUGAGCCGAUGACGGGUUAGCUGGUGGGGGGGGUAAAGACCAACCAAGGCGAGGGUCCGCAGCUGGAGUGAGAGAAGGAUAAGCCGCACUGGAACUGGAACGCGGUCCAGACUCCUACGGGAGGCCGCAGUGGCGAAUAUUGGGCAAUGGGCGGAAGCCUGAUCCAGCCAUCCCGCGUGGGUGAAGGAAGCCUUCGGGUUGUAAAGCCCUUUUGUUGGGAAAAAACAGCAGCAGGUUGAUACGCAGCUGUUCUGACGGUACCCAAAGAAUAAGCACCGGCUAACUUCGUG